rnacentral:rRNA from 10 species
CCUGGCGGCAGUAGCGCGGUGGUCCCACCUGACCCCAUGCCGAACUCAGAAGUGAAACGCCGUAGCGCCGAUGGUAGU